rnacentral:rRNA from 1 species
GCUUGUCUCAAAGAUUAAGCCAUGCAUGUCUCAGUAUAAGUUCCUGUACGGCGAAACUGCGAAUGGCUCAUUAAAACAGUUAUAGUUUAUUUGAUGGUCGUUCCUUACAUGGAUAACUGUGGUAAUUCUAGAGCUAAUACAUGCACCCAUGCCCGACUUUGUGGAAGGGUUGUGUUUAUUAGUUACAGAACCAACCCAGGCUCUGCCUGGUCUUGUGGUGAUUCAUAAUAACUUUCGGAUCGAUCCUCGGAUCGAUGCAUCAUUCAAGUUUCUGCCCUAUCAGCUUUGGAUGGUAGGGUAUUGGCCUACCAUGGCUUUAACGGGUAACGGAGAAUUAGGGUUCGAUUCCGGAGAGGGAGCCUGAGAAAUGGCUACCACAUCCAAGGAAGGCAGCAGG